rnacentral:rRNA from 1 species
UACGUAGGGCGCAAGCGUUGUCCGGAAUUAUUGGGCGUAAAGAGCUCGUAGGCGGCUUGUCACGUCUGGUGUGAAAGCCCGGGGCUUAACCCCGGGUCUGCAUUCGAUACGGGCUAGCUAGAGUGUGGUAGGGGAGAUCGGAAUUCCUGGUGUAGCGGUGAAAUGCGCAGAUAUCAGGAGGAACACCGAUGGCGAAGGCGGAUCUCUGGGCCAAUACUGACGCUGAGGAGCGAAAGCGUGGGGAGCGAACAGG